GCCCAAAGGUUCCCUCAGGCUGGUUGGAAAUCAGUCGUCGAGUGCAAAGGCAGAAGGGAGCUUGACUGUGAGACUUACAAGUCGAGCAGGUGCGAAAGCAGGGCAUAGUGAUCCAGCGAUUGCGUGUGGAAGCGUCGUUGCUCAACGGAUAAAAGGUACCCCGGGGAUAACAGGCUCAUCUUCCCCAAGAGUCCAUAUCGACGGGAAGGUUUGGCACCUCGAUGUCGGCUCAUCGCAUCCUGGGGCUGAAGCAGGUCCCAAGGGUUGGGCUGUUCGCCCAUUAAAGCGGUACGCGAGCUGGGUUUAGAACGUCGUGAGACAGUUCGGUCCCUAUCCUCUGUAGCCGUAGGAGAUUUGAGAAAGGCUGUCCCUAGUACGAGAGGACCGGGAUGGACGCAGCUCUCGUGUGCCAGUUGUUCCGCCAGGAGCAUGGCUGGUUGGCGACCUGCGGGAAGGAUAAGCGCUGAAAGCAUCUAAGCGCGAAACCUGUUUCGAGAUGAGAUCUCCCACUGGAUAACCAGGUAAGGCCCGUGGCAGACCACCACGUUGAUAGGCCGGAUGUGUAAGCACGGCAACGUGUUCAGCAGACCGGUACUAAUCGGCCGAGGGCUUGGGCUC
rnacentral:rRNA from 1 species